UACGGAGGGUGCGAGCGUUGUCCGGAAUCACUGGGCGUAAAGGGCGCGUAGGUGGCCCGCGCAAGCGUGCGGUGAAAGCCCGGGGCUCAACCCCGGGUCGGCCGUGCGGACUGCGGGGCUGGAGCACUGUAGGGGCGGGUGGAAUUCCGGGUGUAGCGGUGGAAUGCGUAGAGAUCCGGAAGAACACCGGUGGCGAAGGCGGCCCGCUGGGCAGUAGCUGACACUGAGGCGCGACAGCGUGGGGAGCGAUCCGG
rnacentral:rRNA from 1 species